AAUAUUGUGGACGCCGGAGAAGGAAGCGUUUGGCGCGAGUGAUCUCGUCGUUUUCUUGACGACGGUGAUGUAUGCAGCACUCGGGGAGGGUAUUUUUGUUAUUAGACCGAUCGUUGACUCGUUGGCUGUCGGGGGAAAUCUAUGCCAAUUUUCGAGGCCAUGUCAGCAGUUGGUUUCGCAGCCGGAAAACUCGCCGGCGGUUUCAGGAGGAGAUAGUGGGCGGCGGAAUCGUAGCGUGGCGUCACGGGAUCAAGAAGAAGAUGAAGGGUGUUAGAACGUGGACGUGCAUGGAUGCAUGCACGUGUAUUUAUAGGACGUAUAUAUAUUGUGGGAUCGAUCCAUGCAGGAAACUGAGACAUGGUGGUGAUUUCCAACAAAUCACGGGGGCAUUUUGGGAAAAUCAGGUAAAAAUUCUCAAAGACGUGCUGGCUUCAAUUUUUAUUUUAUUUUUUAUUUUUAUUUCGGUACGUGGUAGAAAUUUAUAUUAUUGUGGUUUGUUUUUUUGGAGAAUAAUAAUAAAUUAAACAAAUAAAUACAACAUAUAUAUAUAUAUAAAAACUCUUUUGUUAAUUAUAUAAAUCUAUAUAUAUAUAUAUAUAUAUAUAUAAGUUGAAUAAACGAAUAUUUCUAGACAUAUAUAUAUAUACAUAUAUAGUAGGUCACUGCAAAAGGGAGUUCCUUCGAAAUUUUUAGUCAAACAUGAGAAUUUUCAUAUUAUUUUCAGAUAUGAAAAUCAGACAGCAAAUGACUCGGAAGAAGAAGGUUGAUGAUGAUGCUGGUUUGAUAGCAAAUAUGAGUCGCCUCGGUCGCCGACCGCCGCCGUAUGCGGUGCACUGUGAAGUUUAAUUUUUUGUGAUGAUCAGCUCAUGCGUUUCAUAUAGGUUUUGUACUGGUCGGUUUCUCGUAUUAUUUUCGUCUUGUUUGUAUUCAAAAUUUUUAAUGUCAUCCCUCGGCAACAAUUUUGUGUUGGUGGUGUUAAAUAUUUAUAUAAUCUUAUGUAGAACCA
rnacentral:lncRNA from 1 species